GAUGAACGCUGACAGAAUGCUUAACACAUGCAAGUCAACUGUGGCGGACGGGUGAGUAACGCGUAAAGAACUUGCCUCACAGUUAGGGACCACAUUUGGAAACGAAUGCUAAUACCUGAUACUGUGAGAGAGCUUUGCGUCCCAUUAGCUAGUUGGAGAGGUAACGGCUCAUCAAGGCGAUGAUGGGUAGCCGGCCUGAGAGGGUGAUCGGCCACAAGGGGACUGGGACACGGCCCGUACGCCUACGGGAGGCAGCAGUGGGGAAUAGUGGACAAUGGACCAAAGUCUGAUGCAGCAAUUCUGUGUGCACGAUGAAGUUUUCGGAAUGUAAAGGGAUUAGAGUUGGGAAGCGGUACCAACAGAAGAAGUGACGGCUAAAUACGUGCCAGCAGCCGCGGUAAUAC
rnacentral:rRNA from 1 species